UAGGGAAUUUUGCGCAAUGGGGGAAACCCUGACGCAGCAACACCGCGUGAAUGUUAAGCCCUUCGGGGUGUAAAGUUCUGUCAGUGGGGACGAAAUAUGACUGUACCCACAAAGGAAGCACCGGCUAACUCCGUGCCAGCAGCCGCGGUAAUACGGAGGAUCCGAGCGUUAUCCGGAUUUAUUGGGUUUAAAGGGAGCGUAGGCGGAUUAUUAAGUCAGUUGUGAAAGUUUGCGGCUCAACCGUAAAAUUGCAGUUGAUACUGGUAGUCUUGAGUGCAGUAGAGGUGAGCGGAAUUCGUGGUGUAGCGGUGAAAUGCGUAGAUAUUAGGAGGAACACCGGUGGCGAAGGCGGCUUAUUGGACUGUAACUGACGUUGAGGCUCGAAAGCGUGGGGAGCAAACA
rnacentral:rRNA from 1 species